rnacentral:rRNA from 1 species
GACGAACGCUGGCGGCGUGCUUAACACAUGCAAGUCGAACGGAAAGGCCCAGCUUGCUGGGUACUCGAGUGGCGAACGGGUGAGUAACACGUGGGUGAUCUGCCCCUGACUUUGGGAUAAGCCUGGGAAACUGGGUCUAAUACCGGAUAUGACCUUACAUCGCAUGGUGUUUGGUGGAAAGCUUUUGCGGUUGGGGAUGGGCCCGCGGCCUAUCAGCUUGUUGGUGGGGUAAUGGCCUACCAAGGCGACGACGGGUAGCCGACCUGGGAGGGUGAUCGGCCACACUGGGACUGAGACACGGCCCAGACGCCUACGGGAGGCAGCAGUGGGGAAUAUUGCACAAUGGGCGCAAGCCUGAUGCAGCGACGCCGCGUGAGGGAUGACGGCCUUCGGGUUGUAAACCUCUUUCACCAGGGACGAAGCGUGAGUGACGGUACCUGGAGAAGAAGCACCGGCCAACUACGUG